rnacentral:rRNA from 1 species
UACGAAGGUGGCAAGCGUUGUUCGAAUUUACUGGGCGUACAGGGAGCGUAGGCGGUUGGAUAAGCCCUCCGUGAAAUCUCCAGGCUUAACCUGGAAAGUGCAGAGGGGACUGUUCAGCUAGAGGAUGGGAGAGGAGCGCGGAAUUCCCGGUGUAACGGUGAAAUGCGUAGAGAUCGGGAGGAAGGCCGGUGGCGAAGGCGGCGCUCUGGAACAUUUCUGACGCUGAGGCUCGAAAGCGUGGGGAGCAAACAGG